GACGAACGCUGGCGGCGUGCUUAACACAUGCAAGUCGAACGGGGCGAAGUGAUAGCUUGCUAUUAUGGAGCCUAGUGGCAAACGGGUGAGUAACGCGUAGGCAACCUGCCCUUCAGAUGGGGACAACACCUCGAAAGGGGUGCUAAUACCGAAUGACGUUUCCUAGUCGCAUGACCUGGAAACCAAAGGCCGGGCAACCGGUCACUGAAGGAUGGGCCUGCGUCUGAUUAGCUAGUUGGUGGGGUAACGGCCCGACCAAGGCGACGAUCAGUAGCCGGUCUGAGAGGAUGAACGGCCACAUUGGGACUGAGACACGGCCCAAACUCCUACGGGAGGCAGCAGUGGGGAAUCUUCCGCAAUGGGCGCAAGCCUGACGGAGCAACGCCGCGUGAGUGAAGAAGGUUUUCGGAUCGUAAAGCUCUGUUGAGAGGGACGAGAGAUAUAAUCAGGAAAUGGGUUAUAGAGGACGGUACCUUUCGAGGAAGCCACGGCUAACUACGUGCCAG
rnacentral:rRNA from 1 species